GGGUAAUCUGCCCUGCACUUCGGGAUAAGCCUGGGAAACUGGGUCUAAUACCGGAUAUGAACUCCUGCCGCAUGGUGGGGGUUGGAAAGUUUUUCGGUGCAGGAUGAGCCCGCGGCCUAUCAGCUUGUUGGUGGGGUAAUGGCCUACCAAGGCGACGACGGGUAGCCGGCCUGAGAGGGUGAUCGGCCACACUGGGACUGAGACACGGCCCAGACUCCUACGGGAGGCAGCAGUGGGGAAUAUUGCACAAUGGGCGAAAGCCUGAUGCAGCGACGCCGCGUGGGGGAUGACGGUCUUCGGAUUGUAAACCCCUUUCAGUAGGGACGAAGCGCAAGUGACGGUACCUGCAGAAGAAGCACCGGCUAACUACGUGCCAGCAGCCGCGGUAAUACGUAGGGUGCGAGCGUUGUCCGGAAUUACUGGGCGUAAAGAGCUCGUAGGCGGUUUGUCACGUCGUCUGUGAAAUCCCUCGGCUUAACCGGGGGCGUGCAGGCGAUACGGGCAGACUUGAGUACUACAGGGGAGACUGGAAUUCCUGGUGUAGCGGUGAAAUGCGCAGAUAUCAGGAGGAACACCGGUGGCGAAGGCGGGUCUCUGGGUAGUAACUGACGCUGA
rnacentral:rRNA from 1 species